UACAGAGGUGGCAAGCGUUGUUCGGAAUCACUGGGCUUAAAGGGCGCGUAGGCGGGCGGCAGGGUGUCCUGUGAAAUCCCUCAGCUUAACUGAGGAAUGGCAGGGCAAACCGGCCGUCUUGAGGCAGGCAGGGGCUGGUGGAACUCUGGGUGGAGCGGUGAUAUGCGUAGAUAUCCAGGGGAACGCCAAUGGUGAAGACAGCCAGCUGGGCCUGACCUGACGCUGAGGCGCGAAAGCCAGGGGAGCAAACGGG
rnacentral:rRNA from 1 species